CCCGCAGACGACGCUGGCGGCGUGCCUAAUACAUGCAAGUCGAGCGAAUGAUAGGGAGCUUGCUCCCUUGAUUUAGCGGCGGACGGGUGAGUAACACGUGGGCAACCUACCUGUAAGACUGGGAUAACUUCGGGAAACCGGAGCUAAUACCGGAUAAUUUCUUUUCUCGCAUGAGAAGAGAUGGAAAGACGGUUUCGGCUGUCACUUACAGAUGGGCCCGCGGCGCAUUAGCUAGUUGGUGAGGUAAUGGCUCACCAAGGCCACGAUGCGUAGCCGACCUGAGAGGGUGAUCGGCCACACUGGGACUGAGACACGGCCCAGACUCCUACGGGAGGCAGCAGUAGGGAAUCUUCCGCAAUGGACGAAAGUCUGACGGAGCAACGCCGCGUGAACGAAGAAGGCCUUCGGGUCGUAAAGUUCUGUUGUUAGGGAAGAACAAGUACCAGAGUAACUGCUGGUACCUUGACGGUACCUAACCAGAAAGCCACGGCUAACUACGUGCCAGCAGCCGCGGUAAUACGUAGGUGGCAAGCGUUGUCCGGAAUUAUUGGGCGUAAAGCGCGCGCAGGUGGUUCCUUAAGUCUGAUGUGAAAGCCCACGGCUCAACCGUGGAGGGUCAUUGGAAACUGGGGAACUUGAGUGCAGAAGAGGAAAGUGGAAUUCCAAGUGUAGCGGUGAAAUGCGUAGAGAUUUGGAGGAACACCAGUGGCGAAGGCGACUUUCUGGUCUGUAACUGACACUGAGGCGCGAAAGCGUGGGGAGCGAACAGGAUUAGAUACCCUGGUAGUCCACGCCGUAAACGAUGAGUGCUAAGUGUUAGAGGGUUUCCGCCCUUUAGUGCUGCAGCUAACGCAUAAGCACUCCGCCUG
rnacentral:rRNA from 1 species